rnacentral:rRNA from 1 species
AGUGAACGCUGGCGGUAGGCCUAACACAUGCAAGUCGAACGGCAGCACAGUAAGAGCUUGCUCUUACGGGUGGCGAGUGGCGGACGGGUGAGGAAUACAUCGGAAUCUACUUUUUCGUGGGGGAUAACGUAGGUAAACUUACGCUAAUACCGCAUACGACCUACGGGUGAAAGCAGGGGAUCUUCGGACCUUGCGCGAUUGAAUGAGCCGAUGUCGGAUUAGCUAGUUGGCGGGGUAAAGGCCCACCAAGGCGACGAUCCGUAGCUGGUCUGAGAGGAUGAUCAGCCACACUGGCACUGAGAAACGGUCCAGACUCCUACGGGAGGCAGCAGUGGGGAAUAUUGGACGAUGGGCGAAAGCCUGAUCCAGCCAUACCGCGUGGAUGAAGAAGGCCUUCGGGUUGUAAAGCCAUUUUGUUGGGAAAGAAAAGCAGCAGGUUAAUACCCCGCUGUUCUGACGGUACCAAAAGAAUAAGCACCGGCUAACUUCGUG